AUUCCAUGAUGAAGGCAUUUUCAUAAUAACUUCUUAAAUCAUUCUCAUGCCGCAUACGAGGAAUUAUCAUCAGAUUGUUGAAAUGUAGUAAUUUCAUUUCUGAGUUA
rfam:Gossypium raimondii chromosome 4, whole genome shotgun sequence.